rnacentral:hammerhead_ribozyme from 1 species
AUCUAUCUGACGAAUCCGAAAUAGGACGAAACGUACAUCGUGGAU